CAUUAGCAUAUACUAAAGUUGUUGCAGUUAAAACGCUCGUAGUCGAAAUUGUGAGCUUCGUAUGCUGCCACGAUAGUGGUGGAAGCGAGGUUGAUAUUCCCCAUUGGGGAGCGUUACUUUGAGGAAAAUAGAGUGUUCCAAGCAGGCUAAGUUGAAUAGUUCAGCAUAGGAUAACACAAGAGGACUGGGUGCUUAGUUCAGCGAUGGACGACGGCGUUCAGUAAAGGUGAAUAGGAGCGGUUGGGGGUGCUGGCAUGUCGUGAGGAGCGGUGAAAUGCUAGAAUCCAUGAUGGGCCAACGAAUGCGAAAGCAAGCACCAAGGACGUUUCUGGUGA
rnacentral:rRNA from 1 species